rnacentral:rRNA from 1 species
GAUGAACGCUGGCGGCGUGCUUAACACAUGCAAGUCGAACGGGAAACCUUUUAUUGAAGCUUCGGCAGAUUUAGCUGGUUUCUAGUGGCGGACGGGUGAGUAACGCGUGGGUAACCUGCCUUAUACAGGGGGAUAACAGUCAGAAAUGGCUGCUAAUACCGCAUAAGCGCACAGAGCUGCAUGGCUCAGUGUGAAAAACUCCGGUGGUAUAAGAUGGACCCGCGUUGGAUUAGCUGGUUGGUGGGGUAACGGCCCACCAAGGCGACGAUCCAUAGCCGGCCUGAGAGGGUGAACGGACACAUUGGGACUGAGACACGGCCCAGACUCCUACGGGAGGCAGCAGUGGGGAAUAUUGCACAAUGGGGGAAACCCUGAUGCAGCGACGCCGCGUGAAGGAAGAAGUAUCCCGGUAUGUAAACUUCUAUCAGCAGGGAAGAUAAUGACGGUACCUGACCAAGAAGCCCCGGCUAACUACGUG